GAUGAGUGAGGAAGAGGGGGCAUAUAAAUUUAUAUAUAAAGGGGGGGGCAGAGAGAUGUGUGUGGACUUGGAACAGUAACAUGGGAGACACUGUGCAAGUGUGUGUUGUGUGUGGAAAUAUAUGAGAGAUUGUUUUUGUUUUGUUUUGUUUUGUUUGGUUGAUUAACUUUGGUUUUUGUUUUCUUGUUUUUUUUUAAUUUUUCGGACAUCCCAAGAAAGAAAGAAAAAAAGAGAAGAGAGUAGUGAAAGUGGGAGUUUGAGGAACACACGAACCGAGACGACAUGGAUUAUUAGGGGACCCUAUUGGAUUUCAUCUGUCUCCUUUAAUUUCAUGUGAAGGGAAAGUUUCAAGUUCGGCUCCACUUUUUUUGUGUUCAUUCUUAC
rnacentral:lncRNA from 1 species